CUCACUGAUGCACAACUUAUGAAAAGACGUGACAGCAGAAUUAGUGAAGCUGACUGGAAGACCCUUAUUACUUAUUGGAGAUCUUCGGCAUUUGAAAAUCGUGCCAAUGCAGUACCUCAUACAUCUGGCAGCAAGAGUCAUGCCCGUGUUGCCAAUGAAAUGGCUGUCAAACUUGGGCAUGAUCCUCGGAGAGAUGAAGUUUAUAUCGAAACACAUACAUGGAAG